rnacentral:rRNA from 1 species
GACGAACGCUGGCGGCGUGCCUAAUACAUGCAAGUUGAGCGAUGAAGAUUGGUGCUUGCACCAAUUUGAAGAGCAGCGAACGGGUGAGUAACGCGUGGGGAAUCUGCCUUUGAGCGGGGGACAACAUUUGGAAACGAAUGCUAAUACCGCAUAAUAACUUUAAACAUAAGUUUUAAGUUUGAAAGAUGCAAUUGCAUCACUCAAAGAUGAUCCCGCGUUGUAUUAGCUAGUUGGUGAGGUAAAGGCUCACCAAGGCGAUGAUACAUAGCCGACCUGAGAGGGUGAUCGGCCACAUUGGGACUGAGACACGGCCCAAACUCCUACGGGAGGCAGCAGUAGGGAAUCUUCGGCAAUGGACGAAAGUCUGACCGAGCAACGCCGCGUGAGUGAAGAAGGUUUUCGGAUCGUAAAACUCUGUUGGUAGAGAAGAACGUUGGUGAGAGUGGAAAGCUCAUCAAGUGACGGUAACUACCCAGAAAGGGACGGCUAACUACAUG